GGGCCCGCACAAGCGGCGGAGCAUGCGGAUUAAUUCGAUGCAACGCGAAGAACCUUACCUGGUCUUGACAUCCUGCGAACUUUCUAGAGAUAGAUUGGUGCCUUCGGGAACGCAGUGACAGGUGCUGCAUGGCUGUCGUCAGCUCGUGUCGUGAGAUGUUGGGUUAAGUCCCGUAACGAGCGCAACCCUUGUCCUUAUUUGCCAUCAUUUAGUUGGGCACUCUAGGGAGACUGCCGGUGACAAACCGGAGGAAGUGGGGGACGACGUCAAGUCAUCAUGGCCCUUACGACCAGGGCUACACACGUGCUACAAUGGGGCGUACAAAGGGUUGCAAUCCCGCGAGGGGGAG
rnacentral:rRNA from 1 species